UGGGGAAUAUUGGACAAUGGGCGAAAGCCUGAUCCAGCCAUGCCGCGUGUGUGAAGAAGGUCUUCGGAUUGUAAAGCACUUUAAGUUGGGAGGAAGGGCAGUAAGCGAAUACCUUGCUGUUUUGACGUUACCGACAGAAUAAGCACCGGCUAACUCUGUGCCAGCAGCCGCGGUAAUACAGAGGGUGCAAGCGUUAAUCGGAAUUACUGGGCGUAAAGCGCGCGUAGGUGGUUCGUUAAGUUGAAUGUGAAAGCCCCGGGCUCAACCUGGGAACUGCAUCCAAAACUGGCGAGCUAGAGUAGAGCAGAGGGUGGUGGAAUUUCCUGUGUAGCGGUGAAAUGCGUAAAUAUAGGAUGGAACACCAGUGGCGAAGGCGGCCACCUGGGCUAAUACUGACACUGAGGUGCGAAAGCGUGGGGAGCAGACAGG
rnacentral:rRNA from 1 species